UAGGGAAUCUUCCGCAAUGGACGAAAGUCUGACGGAGCAACGCCGCGUGAGUGAUGAAGGUUUUCGGAUCGUAAAACUCUGUUGUUAGGGAAGAACAAGUACCGUUCGAAUAGGGCGGUACCUUGACGGUACCUAACCAGAAAGCCACGGCUAACUACGUGCCAGCAGCCGCGGUAAUACGUAGGUGGCAAGCGUUGUCCGGAAUUAUUGGGCGUAAAGCGCGCGCAGGCGGUCCUUUAAGUCUGAUGUGAAAGCCCACGGCUCAACCGGGGAGGGUCAUUGGAAACUGGGGGACUUGAGUGCAGAAGAGGAGAGUGGAAUUCCACGUGUAGCGGUGAAAUGCGUAGAGAUGUGGAGGAACACCAGUGGCGAAGGCGACUCUCUGGUCUGUAACUGACGCUGAGGCGCGAAAGCGUGGGGAGCGAACAGG
rnacentral:rRNA from 1 species